rnacentral:SRP_RNA from 1 species
GCCGGGCAUGGUGGCGCACACCGGUAGUCCCAGCUACUUGGGAGGCUGAGGCUGGAGGAUCGCUUGAGCUCAGGAGUCCUGGGCUGCAGUGCACUAUUCCAAUCAGGUGUCCCCCCCCUAUGUUCAGCAUCAAUAUGGUGACCUGCCAGGAGUGGGGGACCACCAGGUUGCCUAAGGAGGGGUGAACAGGCCCAGGUCAGAAACGGAGCAGGUCAAAAAGAAAAAAAAAAGUUUUAUGGAGAAUCCCAGCUUUGGCACUACUAAAGAAAGGAAAUGGGCUUUU